rnacentral:rRNA from 1 species
AGCGAACGCUGGCGGCAGGCCUAACACAUGCAAGUCGAACGGAUCCUUCGGGAUUAGUGGCGGACGGGUGAGUAACACGUGGGAACGUGCCCUUUGGUUCGGAACAACUCAGGGAAACUUGAGCUAAUACCGGAUGUGCCCUUCGGGGGAAAGAUUUAUCGCCAUUGGAGCGGCCCGCGUCUGAUUAGCUAGUUGGUGAGGUAACGGCCCACCAAGGCGACGAUCAGUAGCUGGUUUGAGAGGAUGAUCAGCCACACUGGGACUGAGACACGGACCAGACUCCUACGGGAGGCAGCAGUGGGGAAUCUUGCGCAAUGGGCGAAAGCCUGACGCAGCCAUGCCGCGUGAAUGAUGAAGGUCUUAGGAUUGUAAAAUUCUUUCAGCGGGGACGAUAAUGACGGUACCCGCAGAAGAAGCUCCGGCUAACUUCGUG